rnacentral:rRNA from 1 species
GAGUUUGAUCAUGGCUCAGGACGAACGCUGGCGGCGUGCCUAAAACAUGCAAGUCGAACGGUGCGAGCAAUCGCACAGUGGCGAACGGCGGAGUAAUACGUAAGCAACGUGCCCCAAAGACCGGGAUAGUCAGCCGAAAGGCUGGGUAAUACCGGAUGUGACCCCUUUCCGGCAUCUGGAAGGGAUUAAAUGGUUUUUCGCUUUGGGAGCGGCUUACGGCCUAUCAGGUAGUUGGUGAGGUAACGGCUCACCAAGCCUACGACGGGUAGCGGGUCUGAGAGGACGAUCCGCUCGAGUGGGACUGAGACACGGCCCACACACCUACGGGUGGCAGCAGUUGGGAAUCUUGCACAAUGGGGGCAACCCUGAUGCAGCGACGCCGCGUGGAGGAUGAAGGAUCUAGGUCUGUAAACUCCUUUUGUUGGGAAAGACUUAGGACGGUACCCAACGAAUAAGCACCGGCUAACUACGUGCCAGCAGCCGCGGUAAGACGUAGGGUGCAAGCGUUGUCCGGAGUUACUGGGCGUAAAGCGCCCGCAGGCGGUGUGCCAAGUUCAGACUGACAAUGCCUCGCUUAACGAGGCAGGGUGUAUGAAAACUGGCACACUUGAGGCAGAGAGAGGGACAGGGAAUUCCGGGUGGAGUGGUGAAAUGCGUAGAUAUCCGGAGGAACACCAAAGGCGAAGGCACUGUCCUGGCUCUGACCUGACGCUGAGGGGCGAAAGCGAGGGGAGCGAACGGGAUUAGAUACCCCGGUAGUCCUCGCCGUAAACGAUGACCACUAGAGGUUCGGGGUAUCGACCCCCUGAGUCUCGCAGCCAACGCGAUAAGUGGUCCGCCUGGGGAGUACGGUCGCAAGAUUAAAACUCAAAGGAAUUGACGGGGACCCGCACAAGCAGCGGAGCGUGUGGUUUAAUUCGAUGCAACGCGAAGAACCUUACCAGGAUUUGACAUGGCUCUGAGCACUGUGGAGACACAGCUUCCUUCGGGACAGAGUCACAGGUGCUGCAUGGCUGUCGUCAGCUCGUGCCGUGAGGUGUUGGGUUAAGUCCCGCAACGAGCGCAACCCUCGUGGGUAGUUGAAAAUAUCUACCCAGACUGCCGCGAUCAACGUGGAGGAAGGUGGGGAUGACGUCAAGUCAGCACGGCCCUUACAUCCUGGGCGACACACACGCUACAAUGGCACGGACAAUGAGUUGCCAACCCGCGAGGGGGAGCCAAUCUCUUCAAACCGUGUCUCAGUUCAGAUUGCAGGCUGCAACCCGCCUGCAUGAAGAUGGAGUUGCUAGUAACCGUGAGUCAGCACAUCACGGUGAAUACGUUCCCGGGUCUUGUACACACCGCCCGUCACACCACGAAAGUCGGCAACCCCUGAAGCCGCUGGGCUAACCCGCAAGGGAGGCAAGCGUCGAGGGUGGGGUCGGUGAUUGGGGUGAAGUCGUAACAAGGUAAC